GAUCAUGGCUCAGGAUGAACGCUGGCGGCGUGCCUAACACAUGCAAGUCGAACGACGAAACCGCCCUCGGGCGGACAUGAAGUGGCGAACGGGUGAGUAACACGUGACCAACCUGCCCCUUGCUCCGGGACAACCUUGGGAAACCGAGGCUAAUACCGGAUACUCCUCGCCCCCUCCUGGGGGCCCGGGAAAGCCCAGACGGCAAGGGAUGGGGUCGCGGCCCAUUAGGUAGUAGGCGGGGUAACGGCCCACCUAGCCCGCGAUGGGUAGCCGGGUUGAG
rnacentral:rRNA from 1 species